GCUCUCGUUAGAUCAUCGAAGUUAAGCAUCAUUGGGCGCGGUCAGUACUUAGGUGGGUGACCAUCUGGGAACACUGCGUGCGG
rnacentral:rRNA from 1 species